rnacentral:rRNA from 1 species
GAUGAACGCUGGCGGCGUGCCUAAUACAUGCAAGUCGAACGGAAGGACGAGGAGCUUGCUUCGCUGUUGUGAGCCGAAGGGGGGUGAAUAACGCGUGUAUCACCUCCCUGUAAGACGGAGAUCACUUCGAAACACCGGAGCUAAUAGCAGAUAAUAUCUUGAUCCACGGGGUUCGAAGGUAAGAUACGGUGUUUCUGGCUCUUAUAGCUGGAUCCGCGCUGCAUUGGCUAGUUGGUGAGGUAACAGCUUAUCAAGGCGACGAUGCAUAGCCGACCGGAGAGGGGGAUCGGCCACAUGGGAACUGAGACACGGUCCAGGCUCCUACGGGACGCAGCAGUAUGGAAUGUUCGGCAAUGGGCGAAAGCCUGACGGAGCAACGCCGCGUGAGUUACGAAGGUCUUCGGAGCGUAAAACUCUCUUACUAGUGAAGAACAGAUGUGUAAGGAACCGUGCCCAUCGUGACGGUACCUAAUAAGAAAGCAACGGCUAACUACGUG